AUGCCAUGAUGGGGACACUUUCGGAGUAGUCCCUUAAAUCUUUCCCAUGCCUCAUAUAAAGAUUCGCUUUCUUUUUGUUCGAAAGCACUGAUAUCUGCUUUGAGCCU